AACUCACAUCGAUCGAUCAUCCACAGUCAAACGGUGAGGUGAAAAUAACCAACCGAACAAUCCUACACGAGCUAAAAACCCGACUGAAUGAAGUCAAAGGCCUCUGGAUAGAAAAAUUAUAUCCGAUCUUACAGGUGUAUCGAACAACUCCCUGCAUACCAACUAGAAAAUCUUUCUUCAACUUAGCUUAUGGGACAGAAGUAAUGAUACCGCUCGAGAUCGGAUUGUCGUAAACAAGAGUAGAGCAAUACAGUGAGUUGAGCAACUCUGAAUAUCGGAGAGCUGACUUAGAUCUCUCAAAACUUCGACAGCAAGCUCAGAUUCGGAUGGCAGCA
rnacentral:lncRNA from 1 species